UUCACCUAUCUUCUUUAUUACAUAUCCAUCUCCAUUUCUCACAUAUCAUUUAUUCCAACCAGAAAUUAGAGAGAAAGAAAGAAACCAUACUCACCACCAUUGAAGACUUUUUGCAUUUAACAUGGCUGAUUUGAAUAGCCAACAACCUCCGACUGUUGUCGGUGGUACGGGGACACUCAAUGAUCAUCCGGGUUCACCCUUAAAUGUUGUCCCACAUAAUCUUUUACUUGAUUUUGCAUUUAAUGAAGAUAAAGAUGCAUUGGGUGAGAGUAGAGUUGUUGAAGAUCCUGAACUCAUUUCUUCAGAGUUUGCAAAUGAAAAGGUGUUCAUGUGGGAGGAUUGCUACCAUCCGGACAUCAUGGACAGAUGAUAACCCAGGAAGAAGGUUCUAGUCAUGUCCGUUUAAGCUCAGCAACUGCCCUUUCAUUGGUUGGGUCGACCCACCGAUGUGCUUACGGUCAACUGUUUACCCGUGAGCAAGAAAUUCAGAAGAAGAAGAGGGUUAUAUGGUUACUGAUAUUAGCGUUAGUGAUUGGCAGCUUACUUGUUAGCAUUGUUUGUUGUGAUUAAGAAAUAGGUGGUACUUAGUUGGAUUAUCCUUGUUAGUAUGUUAGUGACAUUUGUAGUAUGUACUUGUUUAUGUUUGGUUGAAUCUGAGAAUUUUCUAUGUUAUGGAUU